rnacentral:rRNA from 1 species
GAUGAACGCUGGCGGCGUGCCUAAUACAUGCAAGUCGAGCGAACAGACGAGAGCUCUUGCACUCUCUGACGUUAGCGGCGGACGGGUGAGUCAUACGUGGGUAACCUACCUAUGAGACUGGGAUAAUGUCGGGAAACCGGAGCUAAUACCGGAUAAUAUUUAGCUUCGCUUGAAGCAAUAGUGAAAGACGGUUCUGCUGACAAGUAUAGAUGGCCCCGUGGUGUAUUAGCUAGUUGGUGAGGUAACGGCUCACCAAGGCAACGAUACAUAGCCGACCUGAGAGGGUGAUCGGCCACACUGGGACUGAGACACGGCCCAGACUCCUACGGGAGGCAGCAGUAGGGAAUCUUCCGCAAUGGACGAAAGUCUGACGGAGCAAUGCCACGUGAGUGAAGAAGGUUUUCGGAUCGUAAAACUCUGUUGUAAGGGAAGAACAAGUACGUUAGUAACUGAACGUACCUUGACGGUACCUUACCAGAAAGCCUCGGCUAACUACGUG